rnacentral:rRNA from 1 species
GAUGAACGCUGGCGGCGUGCCUAAUACAUGCAAGUCGAGCGAACAGACGAGGAGCUUGCUCCUCUGACGUUAGCGGCGGACGGGUGAGUAACACGUGGAUAACCUACCUAUAAGACUGGGAUAACUUCGGGAAACCGGAGCUAAUACCGGAUAAUAUAUUGAACCGCAUGGUUCAAUAGUGAAAGACGGUUUUGCUGUCACUUAUAGAUGGAUCCGCGCCGCAUUAGCUAGUUGGUAAGGUAACGGCUUACCAAGGCAACGAUGCGUAGCCGACCUGAGAGGGUGAUCGGCCACACUGGAACUGAGACACGGUCCAGACUCCUACGGGAGGCGGCAGUAGGGAAUCUUCCGCAAUGGGCGAAAGCCUGGCGGAGCAACGCCGCGUGAGUGAUGAAGGUCUUCGGAUCGUAAAACUCUGUUAUUAGGGAAGAACAAAUGUGUAAGUAACUAUGCACGUCUUGACGGUACCUAAUCAGAAAGCCACGGCUAACUACGUG